rnacentral:rRNA from 2 species
UUAAGCGACUAAGCGUACACGGUGGAUGCCCUGGCAGUCAGAGGCGAUGAAGGACGUGCUAAUCUGCGAAAAGCGUCGGUAAGGUGAUAUGAACCGUUAUAACCGGCGAUGUCCGAAUGGGGAAACCCAGUGCAAUUCGUUGCACUAUCGUUAACUGAAUACAUAGGUUAACGAGGCGAACCGGGGGAACUGAAACAUCUAAGUACCCCGAGGAAAAGAAAUCAACCGAGAUUCCCCCAGUAGCGGCGAGCGAACGGGGAGCAGCCCAGAGUCUGAAUCAGCUUGUGUGUUAGUGGAACGGUCUGGAAAGUCCGACGGUACAGGGUGAUAGUCCCGUACACCAAAAUGCACAGGCUGUGAACUCGAAGAGUAGGGCGGGACACGUGGUAUCCUGUCUGAAUAUGGGGGGACCAUCCUCCAAGGCUAAAUACUCCUGACUGACCGAUAGUGAACCAGUACCGUGAGGGAAAGGCGAAAAGAACCCCGGCGAGGGGAGUGAAAAAGAACCUGAAACCGUGUACGUACAAGCAGUGGGAGCACCUUCGGGUGUGACUGCGUACCUUUUGUAUAAUGGGUCAGCGACUUAUAUUCUGUAGCAAGGUUAACCGUAUAGGGGAGCCGCAGGGAAACCGAGUCUUAACUGGGCGUUAAGUUGCAGGGUAUAGACCCGAAACCCGGUGAUCUAGCCAUGGGCAGGUUGAAGGUUGGGUAACACUAACUGGAGGACCGAACCGACUAAUGUUGAAAAAUUAGCGGAUGACUUGUGGCUGGGGGUGAAAGGCCAAUCAAACCGGGAGAUAGCUGGUUCUCCCCGAAAGCUAUUUAGGUAGCGCCUCGUGAACUCAUCUUCGGGGGUAGAGCACUGUUUCGGCUAGGGGGUCAUCCCGACUUACCAACCCGAUGCAAACUACGAAUACCGAAGAAUGUUAUCACGGGAGACACACGGCGGGUGCUAACGUCCGUCGUGAAGAGGGAAACAACCCAGACCGCCAGCUAAGGUCCCAAAGUCAUGGUUAAGUGGGAAACGAUGUGGGAAGGCACAGACAGCCAGGAUGUUGGCUUAGAAGCAGCCAUCAUUUAAAGAAAGCGUAAUAGCUCACUGGUCGAGUCGGCCUGCGCGGAAGAUGUAACGGGGCUAAACCAUGCACCGAAGCUGCGGCAGCGACACUAUGUGUUGUUGGGUAGGGGAGCGUUCUGUAAGCCUGCGAAGGUGACCUGUGAGGGUUGCUGGAGGUAUCAGAAGUGCGAAUGCUGACAUAAGUAACGAUAAAGCGGGUGAAAAGCCCGCUCGCCGGAAGACCAAGGGUUCCUGUCCAACGUUAAUCGGGGCAGGGUGAGUCGACCCCUAAGGCGAGGCCGAAAGGCGUAGUCGAUGGGAAACAGGUUAAUAUUCCUGUACUUGGUGUUACUGCGAAGGGGGGACGGAGAAGGCUAUGUUAGCCGGGCGACGGUUGUCCCGGUUUAAGCAUGUAGGCUGGUUGUCCAGGCAAAUCCGGAUAAUCAAGGCUGAGGUGUGAUGACGAGGCACUACGGUGCUGAAGUAACAAAUGCCCUGCUUCCAGGAAAAGCCUCUAAGCAUCAGGUAACAUCAAAUCGUACCCCAAACCGACACAGGUGGUCAGGUAGAGAAUACCAAGGCGCUUGAGAGAACUCGGGUGAAGGAACUAGGCAAAAUGGUGCCGUAACUUCGGGAGAAGGCACGCUGGUGUGUAGGUGAAGCCCCUGCGGGUGGAGCUGAGACCAGUCGAAGAUACCAGCUGGCUGCAACUGUUUAUUAAAAACACAGCACUGUGCAAACACGAAAGUGGACGUAUACGGUGUGACGCCUGCCCGGUGCCGGAAGGUUAAUUGAUGGGGUUAUCCGUAAGGAGAAGCUCUUGAUCGAAGCCCCGGUAAACGGCGGCCGUAACUAUAACGGUCCUAAGGUAGCGAAAUUCCUUGUCGGGUAAGUUCCGACCUGCACGAAUGGCGUAAUGAUGGCCAGGCUGUCUCCACCCGAGACUCAGUGAAAUUGAACUCGCUGUGAAGAUGCAGUGUACCCGCGGCAAGACGGAAAGACCCCGUGAACCUUUACUAUAGCUUGACACUGAACAUUGAGCCUUGAUGUGUAGGAUAGGUGGGAGGCUUUGAAGCGUGGACGCCAGUCUGCGUGGAGCCAACCUUGAAAUACCACCCUUUAAUGUUUGAUGUUCUAACGUUGGCCCCUGACCGGGGUUGCGGACAGUGUCUGGUGGGUAGUUUGACUGGGGCGGUCUCCUCCCAAAGCGUAACGGAGGAGCACGAAGGUUAGCUAAUCCUGGUCGGACAUCAGGAGGUUAGUGCAAUGGCAUAAGCUAGCUUGACUGCGAGCGUGACGGCGCGAGCAGGUGCGAAAGCAGGUCAUAGUGAUCCGGUGGUUCUGAAUGGAAGGGCCAUCGCUCAACGGAUAAAAGGUACUCCGGGGAUAACAGGCUGAUACCGCCCAAGAGUUCAUAUCGACGGCGGUGUUUGGCACCUCGAUGUCGGCUCAUCACAUCCUGGGGCUGAAGUAGGUCCCAAGGGUAUGGCUGUUCGCCAUUUAAAGUGGUACGCGAGCUGGGUUUAGAACGUCGUGAGACAGUUCGGUCCCUAUCUGCCGUGGGCGCUGGAGAAUUGAGGGGGGCUGCUCCUAGUACGAGAGGACCGGAGUGGACGCAUCACUGGUGUUCGGGUUGUCAUGCCAAUGGCACUGCCCGGUAGCUAAAUGCGGAAGAGAUAAGUGCUGAAAGCAUCUAAGCACGAAACUUGCCCCGAGAUGAGUUCUCCCUGAGACUUUAAGUCUCCUGAAGGAACGUUAAAGACGAUGACGUUGAUAGGCCGGGUGUGUAAGCGCAGCGAUGCGUUGAGCUAACCGGUACUAAUGAACCGUGAGGCUUAACCUU